AAAGAUUUAAGUUAUAGACUAAAAGCCUUCAAAGCUUAAAGCAGGAAUUAAAAUUCCUAAUCUUUGAC
rnacentral:tRNA from 1 species